rnacentral:rRNA from 1 species
CCCUUAGAUGUUCUGGGCCGCACGCGCGCUACACUGAUGCAUUCAACGAGCCUAUCCUUGACCGACAUGUCCGGGUAAUCUUUGAAUCUGCAUCGUGACGGGGAUAGAUUAUUGCAAUUAUUAAUCUUCAACGAGGAAUGCCUAGUAGGCGCAAGUCAUCAGCUUGCGUCGAUUACGUCCCUGCCCUUUGUACACACCGCCCGUCGCUCCUACCGAUUGGGUGUGCUGGUGAAAUGUUCGGAUCGGCCGUUUGUCGCGGUUUCCGCGUCAUGUGGCUGAGAAGUUCAUUAAACCCUCCCACCUAGAGGAAGGAGAAGUCGUAACA